rnacentral:rRNA from 1 species
AUGCAGUCGAGGGGUAUAGUUCUUCGGAAUUAGAGACCGGCGCACGGGUGCGUAACGCGUAUGCAAUCUACCUUUUACAGAGGGAUAGCCCAGAGAAAUUUGGAUUAAUACCUCAUAGUAUGUGAGAAUGGCAUCAUUUUCACAUUAAAGUCACAACGGUAAAAGAUGAGCAUGCGUCCCAUUAGCUAGUUGGUAAGGUAACGGCUUACCAAGGCUACGAUGGGUAGGGGUCCUGAGAGGGAGAUCCCCCACACUGGUACUGAGACACGGACCAGACUCCUACGGGAGGCAGCAGUGAGGAAUAUUGGUCAAUGGACGCAAGUCUGAACCAGCCAUGCCGCGUGCAGGAUGACGGUCCUAUGGAUUGUAAACUGCUUUUGUACAGGAAGAAACAACAUUACGUGUAAUGUCUUGACGGUACUGUAAGAAUAAGGAUCGGCUAACUCCGUGCCAGCAGCCGCGGUAAUACGGAGGAUCCAAGCGUUAUCCGGAAUCAUUGGGUUUAAAGGGUCCGUAGGCGGUUUAGUAAGUCAGUGGUGAAAGCCCAUCGCUCAACGGUGGAACGGCCAUUGAUACUGCUAGACUUGAAUUAUUAGGAAGUAACUAGAACAUGUAGUGUAGCGGUGAAAUGCUUAGAGAUUACAUGGAAUACCAAUUGCGAAGGCAGGUUACUACUAAUGGAUUGACGCUGAUGGACGAAAGCGUGGGUAGCGAACAGGAUUAGAUACCCUGGUAGUCCACGCCGUAAACGAUGGAUACUAGCUGUUGGGAGCAAUCUCAGUGGCUAAGCGAAAGUGAUAAGUAUCCCACCUGGGGAGUACGUUCGCAAGAAUG